rnacentral:rRNA from 1 species
UACGGAGGGGGCUAGCGUUGUUCGGAAUUACUGGGCGUAAAGCGCACGUAGGCGGCUUUGCAAGUUAGAGGUGAAAGCCCGGGGCUCAACUCCGGAAUUGCCUUUAAAACUGCAUCGCUAGAAUUGUGGAGAGGUAAGUGGAAUUCCGAGUGUAGAAGUGAAAUUCGUAGAUAUUCGGAAGAACACCAGUGGCGAAGGCGACUUACUGGACACAUAUUGACGCUGAGGUGCGAAAGCGUGGGGAGCAAACAGG